rnacentral:ncRNA from 1 species
UUAAAUUCUGCGAACAAGAAUAGUAAUUGUAAAAUCUUUUUUCAGCGAGCCGAAGUUGAUGUGAGUUCGGUAUCAAGAAUUACAGUGAAUGGACUUGUGAGAUGCUAGGUGAACUUCUAAGGUAUUAGAAUAGUAUCCGAAGCCGGGAGAUUCCCGUUAUAGAGUCAGGAUAUCGAGUUUUUCUCCGUAUCUGAGUGAGUGAGACAGUAAGCUGUCUAAUUUGGGUGGUACCGCGAAAGUAGCCUUUCGUCCCUUUA